UGUUAGAAUGAUACAUUUUUAUUUUCUUAUUCUGUGAAUGCAUUCAAUGACACUUUUCACUCUGUAGUCAGUUAUUCUUUUCCCUGAAAAACUGACUGCUUUCUAAAAGGUUAUGCAGUUCCUUGCUAUAAUGCAAAAUGAUAAUUUCUUUUUGUACUUGUGAAAAUCCAGCAGUAAAAUUACAAAAACAUACUGGAGAAUUUUUCUGUUUCUGUAGCACUUCCAUGUGGAAGAUUCAAAUUACCAGUCUGACUUCUGAACUCAUUUUUUAAAGAUAUAUCAAUAUAUCUACUUAAAUGGGUGGGAUAAGGCAAUAGUGCUGUUCUGACCUGCCCAGUCUUUGCUGAUUAUAUGCCAUGAAUCUACUUACAAGUUGUGUUUGAUUGUCUUAAUCUACCAAGGAGUCACUUUUAAUACAACAGAGUAAGGGGGGAACAUACAUUUACUUGUUUUUAUAAAACUAAAUCUUGGACUUGUGUAACAUCUUUUAUUAGAAUGAACACAAACUGCUAUUCCAGACUUUCCAUAUGCACACCACUCCACCAGUGUCUACUUUAUAGAAAUGAGACUAAAACUCACACUCAGUACUAGACAUAAGGCUGAGAACUCAGCCCAAAAUCCUGCCUGCUCUUGCAGUCCACUUUGUCAUUGAAGUUUUGGGGAAUGAAGCCAUUCAGGAAGUGCAAGUACCUUUUAUACCGAGGCUUUCUGGAUCUUGAAUGGCAAGAUGAAGUUAUCCUGGCUAAGCAGGUAGUGAUUUAUUCACAGAUGUGGAAGCUGGAUAUAAUUUUAAGAGAUCCUUUCAUGAAGACAGUUAAAUGGAUAGUGUAUGUGAUACAAAAAAGGUGGACAAAGCUGAAGUUUGCAGUUUGGUGACAAAAGUCAAAGGAUGAAGACUUUUAAGUCAGACACAUUCUAAAAAAGGCAUUUAUGCAUCUAUCUCCUGUUGAAAAGAGUAAGAGGAUUCAGACCUAAGUUUAGAAAUAAUUAGGGCAUAAAGAGAUAUAGUUGUCUAUCUAGGAGAGUAGGGAGAACUGAACAGUGCCUAAGAUACUAAGCUCCAUUGGGAGAAAUUUCUGACUGAGUUUUCUGCUGCAUAGUUUUCUUUUCUUUGGAAUAUGUUGUACUGAAGUGAAUGGCAAACCUCUGUGCACCCUCACAGAUGCACUGAUGUGAGAGCAUGGGAUAAAAGUGGGAUUUCAUAAAGUUCUUCCAGGCAUGAAGUGAGCAAAAGGUGGAUUGAAGAUACACUGCCAUGAAAGCAAAAAAAAAGGAAGUAAUAAACAGAGAAAGGAAGCAAAAAAUUGGCUUAUAGGGAUGAAAUGCUGCAGAGGAUUAGUCUGCAGGGGAAGAUUUUGUAGAGGUUUACAUUUAUGCACUAAUUGGGAGAAUAGGUUCUGUGUAUUGAACUUCAUGCACAACUUUCUGAGAGGUUCAAGAGCUGCAGUGAUAACCAAUGAUCUAAAUCCACUUCUGGGCUGAAGAGAGCCUGUUACAACCAGAUUGCCCCAACUGACCUCCUUGGUACACCUGACAGCGUCUCACAGGAGAGGCCAAGGAGCAGAUGGGAGUACAGCCUCAUACAUCACUCUGAGACCAGUCUUUUCUGAACAAAUUCAGAUGUUUUUGAGUACAAAACAUACUGUAGACCCCUGGAUGCUGCAGACCAGAAAAUGUCACCAUUCCCUGGACAGAAAUCUACCUUCACCAGGUGGGUUUUGCUAAAAUUCCAGAAAGCUCAACAGCAAUGUUUCUUUAAGGGCUCCUCCUUCCCUCUCUGGACUUUUCUCUCUCCAAAUUAUUGAAGACAUGCCAGCUAUCAGUACUGAGCACUAUUUCCUUGGCACUGAGGUUUCAGUGGGGUUGAACCAAGACCCAGCUGCACAGCUCUUGCUGUGCAAAUCAAAGCACAGGGCAAUAAUGUACAUCACUGGGCUGAGAAUAUAGAGGAGAGAGUUCUUUAUGAGAUGUUUUAGUUCAGAGACCUCAUUUGCAUUCAUUCUUUACAAUGGAUUCUUCUUCAGCCAAAGAAUCUCCCUCUCCUUACCUGUUUUACAAAUGGGUUGUAGAUUCGGCUUCUUUCUGUUCAGUGAGGUAAAGGAUCAUUUUACCAGCCUUGGCAGUGUGCUGCUCUUUCCCUGCACAACAUCUGCUGCAGUUUUCAUGGCUUGAAGUGUUCCUGGCCUUGUUUUAAAAGUCAUGUUUCAGAAAUGUCUUUAAGGAAUGAAUUAUUAGUCAUUGUUUUAUCUUCUAGGGUGUUCUUCAUUUAUCUUAGUUAUUUUCCUUUUUAAAAUAAGACUGGAGAGGCUUUGGAGUUUAAAGUUUAUAGGUUUUAAUUCAAGUUUAGGCUAAAGAUACCAAGACUGGUAAAGUAAUUCAUAGCAAUAGGAUUUUAGUGCAGUUUCAGGAAGUAAAUUAUUUUUGUAUGACAAUAAAAUGGGAAUUAUCUCCUUCUACCUCACACUUCUCCUUACCAUUGUAGUAUUUGUGUACACACUUUUCACAAAUACGACAAUUCUGACAUUUACUGUUCCAAAGCCUUUGCAUUAUUUGUGCCUCAUACCUCAUUUCUCCAUCACUUCAUGUAUGACAAGGUGUUUGAUAUUUAAUGCACUUUUAAACCACGUUUUUUUCCCGUAAAGUAACUAAAAAAGAGAUUUGGCUUUUCAAUUUUUUCACCUAAUUCUGAUUAAUAUGGUUAAUUUUUUUCCAGAACACUUCACAUCUUCAUCUUGGACUCUGUAUUUUACUCAGCAGCAUCCUCAACAUUUACUCUGCCUAUGACAUCACCUGUGCCAAAUUUCCAAAGGCUGUUUGGGACAUACAGUUGCUAGUAGGACAUUUUGAAGACAAAAGAUUUGUGCAAGCUUAACUUGGAGCAUGAACUGGUCUGAAGAAUAGUGACAGCAAUUUUGUUAUACUUGUGUGGUAUUGGAGGAGUACUGCAAGGUACCCCAUACAAACAAAGCAUCAUGUGAAGCUUCUGGCCAGAACCCUGCAGUGCAGCACAGGGCUGGAGCUUCUAUGGCUGGCAGAAACAGUCCAAUACCCAUGGGGACUUCACUGGAAAUAUGGAUGUAGGUAGGUAUGAUUAUCAUAAAAGAAAAAGGAACUGUAUUGUUGCUGUCCAAAUCUACUGUUCACCUCUUUUUAUUUUACAGUGCAAUAGUUAAGACAUUUUCUUCCAGCAUACCAUACUUAAUUAUGAAUAUUAAUCCCUAUUAGGAGCAUUAGACUUCAGGGAUUCACCUAAGGACAACUGAAGUACAUGGGAUGAGUUGAAGAUCAAGACUUUAACAAUAUUUUGAGAUUUCAGGGAGAAGACAAGCAAGAGUGUAGACUAAAAAGGGCACAGAAGUUGCUUUAUUUACUUGUGCAUGUCUAGAGUAAAACUGCAUUUCUCCCUAAAGUCAAAGAAAAAUACUUGAACCAGGAAUAUUUUUCCUAUAGAUUGUCAAACAUUUUUAUUCUGGAUGCAAAUGAAGUCUUGUAUCUGUAUCUGUAAUGUUCAAGAUAUUUUGCUGUAACUGAUGGGUGAAGUCCAUGGCCUUCACUGUAUAUUGAGUCUGACUAUUUCUACACCAACACUAAUAAUUACCUGUACUCAAUUACUAGAAUCCUUGUGCAAGUUGCUCUUUUUGUACCAUUUAAAAUGGAGUAGUACAGCACAGGAGCUGGAAUCCCUGUGCUGAAGAAUUCACUCUAGAAACUUACUUCCAACGUCAAACAAGAGACAGAGUGUAUAAGAAGAUAAAUUAUUCAGUAAUGGAUCCUACACACUUAUAAUGCACAAGUUGUAAUGAAUCUCAGUUGCUCUUGUAAUUUUGUAAAGUUGUUUACCUAAUAUGGUAGAUGUGCCAUAUGGUACACUAAAGAGAGUGUUAGAAUGA